rnacentral:rRNA from 1 species
GGUCGGCCGUCAAGGUCUGUACCGUUUGGGUCACGCCCCACUGUAGGAUACUCACCGCUGUCCUUAACUGGGUGGCGGUCAAAGGGGGUGUGCAUGGGGGCAACUCUGUGCAUAUCUCUGGGGUUCCUACUCUUUUACUUUGAGCAAAUUAGAGUGUUCAAAGCAGGCAAUCGAGCCUUGAAUACUUCAGCAUGGGAUAAUGGAACAGGACUGGGGUCCUGAUUUCGUUGGUUUCUGGGAUCUCAGUAAUGAUUAAUAGGGAUAGUUGGGGGCAUUAGUAUUUAAUUGUCAGAGGUGAAAUUCUUGGAUUUAUGAAAGACUAACUUCUGCGAAAGCAUUUGCCAAGGAUGUUUUCAUUAAUCAAGAACGAAAGUUAGGGGAUCGAAGACGAUCAGAUACCGUCGUAGUCUUAACCAUAAACGAUGCCGACCAGCGAUUGGGAGACGUUACAUGGAUGACUCCCCCAGCAGCUUGCGAGAAAUCACAAGUCUUUGGGUUCCGGGGGGAGUAUGGUCGCAAGGCUGAAACUUAAAGGAAUUGACGGAAGGGCACCACCAGGAGUGGAGCCUGCGGCUUAAUUUGACUCAACACGGGGAAACU